GAGAGUCCAAAGUUCAAAAUACUGAAAUCUGCCCUGUGCUGAUAGUGGAGCUAUGUUGGGACCAAAUCCCACAGGUACCAGGCUUGAGUGCCCUUAAAAGUACCCAAGUGAAAACUUUUACUAAGCAUGAGACAUUGGGGCAAGAUGAUGUCACAGGAAGUGGAAAGGUUCCGGGGCCCAGUCUUCACCCAAUUUCUUCUCAGUCCUGUCUUUUUCCUUCCAGGCCUCCCUGGCCCUGGUCUCUCCACAGUGGUCUUGGUAAGCAUGGAAGGGAGGGCAGAGGUGAAAAAGCUACUGGGGCAACCCUCUUCAGCAGCCCUGAACCUUCUUUCUGGAGUUCUUCACAUUGUCCCCCCAAAUUCCCCAAAGCCUACCCACCCUUGGGGACACCAACAAGGAGAGAACAGCAGGCAGAUUAUUCUGGUUCCUAUGCCAUGAUUUUCAGCGUUGCUCUGGGCACUGCAUGCACAAGAAGUCCUGGAUAAGAACGGAAGUCAGGACAAAAAGACUGCAGGAUAGAACUCCAGUUCCAGCCAUCCUGGAGGGUGGAACAGCAAAGGCAGUGGAGGAAAGGAAGGCCAUGCCCUCUCGUGUGGGGAUCUUGACACACUGAAGACACCCAGGAACUUGGCAGAAGGGCCCCAAAGUGAGGGAGAAGGAUCAGGGCUCCUUGGGGUCUUGGGGGAACCGUUUCUGCUUUAGGCAGAAUUCCAUUUUACAUAUGUGUCAUUGUUUUCAUGUGUUUGUUUGUUGUAUGACUUGGUUUGAACAUGGAUUUUAUAAGCCAUGUGGGAAAAAAAAAUGAACAUUUGAGCUUUAACCCAGUGCUUCCAUGGACAGACCAGAGAAGUGAAAUCCAGAAAUGGAAUAAAUUUACCCAAACCUCCCUGUAAGUCAGGGCACAACUGAGACCUGGGGAGGAGCCAGGAGGUGAAGAGCUCGGGGGAGCCCUAUCUGUCAAGGGGCAGAGAGAGUCCUCUGGCUUUUAUUGGUUAAUGAAUAAAGAACUGCUUUGAUCCUCUGGCAGGGAAGAACAGAACUAGGAGAAAGCUAGGCUGUAUGCUGGGAGAAAGAAGGGUGGAAUGAGAAAGAAGCCAUGGAGCUACCGGAGACAGAUGCUGGGAACUUAACCCAGUAAGCCACUGCCACGUGGUGAUAUAUAGAUUAAUAAAAAUGGGUUCAAUUAAUAUAAGAGUUAGCCAAUAAGAAGCUAGAGCUAAUGGGCCAAGCAGUGAUUUAAUUAAUACAGUUUCUGUGUGACUAUUUCAGGGCUAAGCUAGCUGGGCAGCCAGGAAGCAACAAGCCAUCUUUCUCCAACAGUCCUCAGCUUCCAGCUCUCUCCAUCUCACCAGGAAGUGGGACAGGAUGCAGACACAUCCUGUGGGAGCCAGGGACCCAUGCCGAAAGCACAAGAAAGGCCUUACACAAAUGUAUAGCAGUUGGCCGUCAGGAAAGAUUUUCCCACAGACAGCAUCUCUGAACUGCUCACUACACACCUAGGAGGUAGCAAAACUGGAGCUCUUAGCUCCAAAUCACAGACAAGUCAAGCUUAGCAAGGCUCAAAUGAAGCCAUGUGCAUGGCUGAGACUGGAACUGGUAUCUUAGGUUCAGCAAGGUUGGGAUGAGAUCUCCCUGAAGGAGAACCUCGGCAGCCUACUUCAUUUACUCGGCUGUACUGCCUGAAACCCACUGUGAAGGGGGCGGGGGGCGGGGUACCACCUGCUCAGAGUCUGCCAGAGCUCACGGUUGUGUGUUCCAGGUGCCACAGACUAGGCAGGGCGCUUCCUGAGCAGGCACUGGCUGGACAAUUUCCAGAGAAAGCAAGUUGAGCCUGGGCCUGAGGAGGGGCAGAAUGGUCUGUGUUUGUGGGGAAAGACAGGUGGCAUGGGAAGGACCUUUGUGGGUAGACAAAACAAACAGCUUGGAGGUGCAAAGUGUUUGCUGUAUCUUGGGGAAGAUGAGGGGCUUGAUGAGGUCUGGGCAGCAUAGUGACAGUGACCAAACCUCCAGGGUGGGGCACCAAUAGUGCCAGAGGUCUCAGCUCCACCUUUAGCAUGGGCAAGCGCAAAAGUUCCCCCACAUUCCCUGACUCCAAUUCUCUUAUCCUGUAGGAGAAAUAGCAGCCCUGUCUCUCUUGUUAAAAUGAAAGUACAUCUCAGAAUGUAAAAUAAUCAACCAAUCAUAACCUACUUUGUUGGUAUUUGAAAGCUCUCAAGGAUUUUGAACAGGGGACCGAAGGACCUGGAAGCUGCUACUUUGUUUCUUACCGUUCUGAGGAUUGAAGCAGGGCCUGUGAUUGUCACUGUACUACUGAACUUCGGCCUAACCCAAUCUAACUUAGAGAGAAAAUCCAAAGGGGCCUGGAGGAAGGAGGUGGAGGCUGGACAUGUGUCAGCAGCCUUAGUCAAAGACAGUGUGAAACUGAACAGGAGAGGAGCCGUGGGAACAGAGAAGAUAAACAGAUGUUGCAUGAAAGGCCUCCUGGGCUCAGUGGUUGCCCAAGCACAGCAUCCAGGGAAGGCAAAAAGGUAAAGAUGGUCCAGGGGAAACACUGAUGGCGGAUGAAAAAGACACUGGCAAUGCAAACACGGGGGAGGUCAGGUGAGAGGUGACCCUACAGGGUUCCUGUGGGAUUCUGGAAAGACCAAGAGUAUGAACAGGAAUCUGGUCAUCUCUGUCCAACUGGGAAUAGAGACUUUGGGGAACAAGAUUCCCCCUGGGAGUGGGGGGUGGGGUGGGGAGGAGGGUAAGGCUGCUGAAGGAAUGGUGUGAGGAAGCUGGGCUGUGGCUCCUAGAACCCGGAGGGAAAGCUGCCAGAGGGGAGUGGAGGCAUUUCGGGAAGAGAGAUAUUGAGCAGCCUGAGAAGGAAGCAGUCAUACUUGGGUGACAGGAAGGGAAUGGAGACCCGGAAGACUCCUCAUGGGUGUGUGAGGGCCUCUGAGGGGUUAAAGCUGCUGCAGUUAGUUCACGGUGGAAGUCGUGGGUGCAGACUAGUCUUUGAAAGAGCUUGGCAGGGAAAAGAACAAAAGAUGGAUGGUUAGCUGCAGGAGAAGGAGGUCAAAAAGAGGUUGGUUUUAGCAGCGGGGAGAUCUGAGCAUGCUCCCAGCUUCAGUGAAGACGGCAUAACGAGAUGAAUCAGAGGAAGAGAUGCUGGGCACAGGCCAAACUCUCCACACAGCCUCUGCGUGCCCAUGGGGACAGAAGCAGAUCCACCGCUGACCAGACUCGGCACUCUGCCCGCAGACCUGGAAACCCCUGCUUCCUCCCAUCCCCAAGGCUGCGGGUCCUUUGUUGAGGAUUUCAGGGAUGCUCCCAGGCCUUUGCAGGGAUCUAUCUCUGUUGAUGCACAGCCUUUCACAUCAAUAAUGACUUGUCCUUGCCCUGCACCAGCUCCACCCUCUGGUGGCCAUAGCCCAGUCCACACCCCAACCCAGCUCAGCAGACACCCAUCAUGAACCUCUUGGCUUCCCUGACCCUAUCUGUAGCUAAAGAGGCCCCCCUGGAUGAUCUAAUUGCCACUCUUUGCCUUCCAAAGGACACAGACUGGAUCCGCCCCUCGACAGACUUGGCAGAACUUAUGCCACCCUGGGCAGCCCACUUUGCCCUGAGUAGCAUCCUUCCUGGACUCCUCAACAUGACCUCUAAGAAGACAAGGGAAAGUGACCGUCUGCUUCCCCUCCCCUUCACUGGGCAGAAGUGGAAAGCAAGGCAGGAGGAGAUCAUGUUAGAGCUUAGGCCGGCUGGCUUCCAAAUUCUCUUUGCCGCCCCCAUUCCUCGCCAGCCAGCCAUCGCUGCCCUUCAAUGAAGAGAAGCAGCCCUGGCACAUUCUGUGUGCUUCAUCAUGGAGAACCAGCCCUCGAGAUGUGCCAGGAGGAAGGCAAGAUGGAUUUUCACAGCAGUGUUACUCGGAAUAGCUUAAGAGCAGAAACAAGCCAAAUGCUCACCAACUAGAGUUACCAGAAUACAUUCAGGACACCCAGUUAAAAAAAUGUUAGCAGCUUUAUUGAGAAACAGUCUAAGUAUCACAAAGUUCACCCAUCUAAAGUGUGCGGGCAGUGGUUCUGAGACGAGAUUUACAGACUUGUGUAAUCACCACCACCAUCUCAUUUUAGAACACUUUCAUCAUCUCCCUCCAAAAAUCCCUGUGCCCAUUAGCAACUAUGCUCCCUCCCUCCCUAGCCCCAGACCACACAAAUCUCUGGUGGGAAAGGCUGAGACAGAGUCUCACUAUGUAACCCAGGCUAGCCUCAAAUUUGUAAUCCUCCUGCUUCGGCUUUCAUGACUUGCUAGGAUUAAAGGUCUGAACACCAUGCUCGUGACAAACUGCUCCUUCCAUGGAUUUGCCUGCUCCAGAUACUUGCCUGUGGUCUUUUGUGACUAGCUUCCUGAUACUCAAAUACCUUAUACUCAACAACU